rnacentral:rRNA from 1 species
AGUGAACGCUGGCGGUAGGCCUAACACAUGCAAGUCGAACGGCAGCACAGUAAGAGCUUGCUCUUACGGGUGGCGAGUGGCGGACGGGUGAGGAAUACAUCGGAAUCUACUUUUUCGUGGGGGAUAACGUUGGGAAACUUACGCUAAUACCGCAUACGACCUACGGGUGAAAGCAGGGGAUCUUCGGACCUUGCGCGAUUGAAUGAGCCGAUGUCGGAUUAGCUAGUUGGCGGGGUAAAGGCCCACCAAGGCGACGAUCCGUAGCUGGUCUGAGAGGAUGAUCAGCAACACUGGCACUGCGACACGGUCCAGCCUCCUACGGGAGGCAGCAGUGGGGAAUAUUGGACAAUGGGCGCAAGCCUGAUCCAGCCAUGCCGCGUGGGUGAAGAAGGCCUUCGGGUUGUAAAGCCCUUUUGUUGGGAAAGAAACGCAGCAGGUUAAUACCCCGCUGUUCUGACGGUACCCAAAGAAUCAGCACCGGCUAACUUCGUG